AAAAUAGUUCAAAUAGUUAAGACUAUAUAAACAAUUAUCUAUUUCAAAUCAUUACGACUUUUUGUUUUGUCAUAAAAUAAUUGUUUCAAUUCAUACAUACUUAUUCAAAAUAAAAUAAUACUACAGCUAGACCGGGUAGGUAAGCGGAGUUUGUAUGAGCCGCACAAAAUGAUAUGUUGGAGAAUGAAUGAGCUGACCACCUGACGGCUUAUGGGUCGAGAGUGUAGUAGCAAGCGUCGUCCAAAGGUAGAGUGUUCAUUCGAAAAGAAGCGUAACAGACUGGGAAACUAAUUCCAAGUGCCUAAUCUCAUCGACCUCAGAGUUUAGCCGCUAGGCGAAGAAGAGGCCGGCACUAGAAGGAUCGGCAGAAGAAAUAGCUACAUUCGAGGAUUUAGCCCUGUGCGAGUGGACUAGUGUGAAACUUUAGCUUCGUUGCGGGCCAGAGCUUCUAGCCGACGAUCGGCUACCCUUUUUAAGCUCAACUGACCCUAGAAUCAAAACCUUCCUGACCGGAGUGCCAUUCACUCGACUUCUCCUGACGGGAAAUACUUGUUCGCCUACUGGGCGUUAGAGCGAUUCGAAGAGACGGUUGGUAAAUACCUUCCGUCGCAUCGGAUGUCCAUAGGUGGCCGUCGGUUUGUCUUUGGUCUAUCCUUUUAGGAAGUUCACCAAGUAGUCAUUGCUGAUAAGCGUGUAGCUGACAUCUAUGAGUCUACAUUGUCUAGGUUAGGGGUUUCAUACCAGAGAUUAACAGAUGGUUGUAGGAUAACUAGGACACAGUCUCUGGUAUACUCACCCGCACCAUAAGCCUCUGUAGUAGAGUCCUCAAUACAACAUGGUUAGUAGCACCUUGGGAAGCAUCGUCAGUUAUGUGCCCUUUAUAGGCUCGGCAUACCAAUGAGUAGCACGGAAGCCAAGAGUACGAAUGAUUUUUCGUUUGACUUUAUAACUGGUGGCCGAGAAUGAUAGGGAACAUUUGGCUUUAUUAAUCCUAAGACCUGGCUAGCUGUGAAACUAAUUCAGCACUUGGUUGAUAGCAGUUUCAAUCAAUGGGGAAGCACGACUAUGGGUCGAGGGGGCUGGUGAGUCCCCGUUGCCCAUCUCCAUUGAUUUGAAAGUUCGCUCUCGCCUAACAGGUGGAAGCUGGACAUAAAGGCGUUCACUGAGAGAUCUUAUCUUUUUUCUUUCAGUGAGAUUGUGUAUCCCGUUGUCGCCUUGCGGGCUGCGCCUCAACCGGCGCCUGGGUCUACAGCCCCGGGCGAAGUCGGUACAAGAUUUAGGUUAUUUCAAAAAAUAAUAACUAAGUGAUUUAAAAAGUAAAUCUGUUUACCACAUUUGUUUAAAUAAUUAUGACUACGUUAAUAAUUAUCUAUUUCAAAUCGAUAUUACCUUUUCUUUGGUCAUAUAACAAUUGCUUUUGAAC
rnacentral:lncRNA from 1 species